rnacentral:rRNA from 1 species
UACAGAGACUGCAAGCGUUAUUCGGAUUCACUGGGCGUAAAGGGCGCGUAGGCGGCCGAUCAAGUCAGGCGUGAAAUUCCCGGGCUCAACCUGGGGGCUGCGCUUGAUACUGAUUGGCUUGAAUGCGGGAGAGGAUAGUGGAAUUCCCAGUGUAGAGGUGAAAUUCGUAGAUAUUCGGAAGAACACCAGUGGCGAAGGCGACUCACUGGACACGUAUUGACGCUGAGGUGCGAAAGCGUGGGGAGCAAACAGG